GCGGAAUUGGAGGCAGGAUUCACCAAGAACGCAGAGAUUGAUUCAACGCCGUUUCUGACUUCGGUUGGAGGCAGAGUACCAGUUGGUUCGCUGAUAGGUGCUCAUGGAAAGAGGAUCGGUUAAAGCAAACUGUAGACUUGGCCGCGAGGGGCAAAUUAGGAGCUGCCCCGAGCCCGGUUGAAUCAACAAUCGGGUCGUUUGGGCCUUUGGGCCUAAGGGAUGGAGUGAGGGUUCGAGCCUGCUCCGGGCGAGAAUCUGGUCAUAGUUACCCACCGGGUAAGGGUUGCCACUAUGUCAUCAGCACGGUGUAAACCAGAAAUUGGCCGGUAACGGCCAUCCGGACGAAAUCCGCCGAAAGGCGGGACAAAACCGGGGUUGAUGCCGGGAUGGCCACGUGCUCCAAACAAGGGCCGUGAAAACCAUCCGCCCGAGCGGCGAUGCGACAAACCGCAGCGCUGCCAUGCAAGAUGAGAGCAACCUGAGAGCUAAGAGGCGAGACCCGUCGCACGGGCUAACGCACCGUCAAAAGCGGUGGCCGACCUUGUGCCAGGGAGUGAAGAGGCAGACAACUUGCAAAUGUCUCUUCGCCGGGUCCAGAGGUCCGGGGCUGCAACCCCGAGCCGAAGGGCAAAUAAGCCUCACUCAAUAAUUCAGGGUCGCGAGAUUCUGAACGGCCCCGCCAUGAGGCCGACGACUCCGCAUGUUACGGAGAGUGGCGUCGGGGAGCCGUCGACCUGCAACGCAGGUGCCUAACGAUGGUGAUUGGGAAAGAGAGCGUGGCGAACUCC
ncrna:unclassified sequences MISL RNA